GACGGAGGAUGCAAGUGUUAUCCGGAAUCACUGGGCGUAAAGCGUCUGUAGGUGGUUUAAAAAGUCCACUGUUAAAAAUUGAAGCUUAACUUCAAAGAUGCCGUGGAAACUUUUAAACUUGAGUAUGAUAGGGGUAGAGGGAAUUUCCAGUGGAGCGGUGAAAUGCGUAGAUAUCGAGAGGAACACCAGUGGCGAAGGCGAGUCUCUGGACGACUCCUGACACUGAGGCACGAAAGCUAGGGGAGCAAACAGG
rnacentral:rRNA from 1 species